UCGUCAGACAAUCAGGAUUCAUAUCCCCACUCUACCACCAACCUGGAGACCAGAUCUUGGCUGAUCGGGGAUUUACCCUUCAGGAGGACUUCGCUCUGUUAGGUGUCAGUCUAAUUACCCCAGCGUUCACCAAAGGGAUGAAGCAGCUGUCGGGGAGAGAGGUUGAAGAAUCCAGGGUGAAAUCCAACGUUCGGAUACAUAUUGAGCCUGUGAUCGGCGCCUUGAAGAACAGAUUUCACAUCCUCGACGGCCCACUUCCUGUACAGUUUGUGAAGUCUCUGCGG